ACCGGAAUUCACCCGAUUCUCUUUCUGUGAGCAAACAACCCAAAUCCUGGUAUCGCUGUUGUGUUUGUGGGACAACGUCUCGAAAAACACCAGACAGGAAAUUCUUCAGAUUUCCUAAGGAUCCUAUUAGAUCAAAACAAUGGGCUGCCGCAUACAGUAAUCAAGACUUGUUAAAUAAAUCACCUACUGAUUUGUAUAAAACUGCACAAAUAUGUUCGUCGCACUUCAAA